rnacentral:rRNA from 1 species
GACGUAGGGUGCGAGCGUUGUCCGGAUUUAUUGGGCGUAAAGAGCUCGUAGGCGGCUCGUCGCGUCGACCGUGAAAACCCGCGGCUUAACUGCGGGCUUGCGGUUGAUACGGGCGGGCUAGAGUUCGGUAGGGGAGACUGGAAUUCCUGGUGUAGCGGUGGAAUGCGCAGAUAUCAGGAGGAACACCGAUGGCGAAGGCAGCUCGCUGGGACGGUACUGACGCUGAGGCGCGAAAGCGUGGGGAGCGAACAGG